GCGCUUGUGGGCAAAUGGCAAAGUCGCUCGGCUUAGAUCCGAGAGUUUGGAGGUUCGAUUCCUCUCAGGCGCACCA
rnacentral:tRNA from 1 species